ACCGCGUAUGAAAGUACGUUUCACCUCGGGUGACAGGGAGACGAGGUGGUGCAUGGUGUCGUCAGCUCGUGUCGUGAGAUGUUGGGUUAAGCCCCGCAACGAGCGCAACCCUUGUCUUUAAUUGCCAUCAUUCAGUUGGGCACUUUAAAGAGACUGCCGGUGUUAAACCGGAGGAAGGUGGGGAUGACGUCAAAGUCCUCAUGGCCUUUAUGCCCAGGGCUACACACGUGCUACAAUGGGUGGUACAAAGAGAUGCAAUCUCGCAAGAGCAAGCAAACCUCAAAAAAGCCAUCCUCAGUUCGGAUUGGAGUCUGCAACUCGACUCCAUGAAGUCGGAAUCGCUAGUAAUCGCGGAUCAGCACGCCGCGGUCGAAUACGUUCCCGGGCCUU
rnacentral:rRNA from 1 species